rnacentral:rRNA from 1 species
AUUGAACGCUGGCGGCAUGCUUUACACAUGCAAGUCGAACGGCAGCGCGGGCUUCGGCCUGGCGGCGAGUGGCGAACGGGUGAGUAGUACAUCGGAACGUGCCCAGUAGUGGGGGAUAGCUCGGCGAAAGCCGGAUUAAUACCGCAUACGACCUGAGGGUGAAAGCGGGGGAUCUUCGGACCUCGCGCUAUUGGAGCGGCCGAUGGCAGAUUAGCUAGUUGGUGGGGUAAAGGCCUACCAAGGCGACGAUCUGUAGCUGGUCUGAGAGGACGACCAGCCACACUGGGACUGAGACACGGCCCAGACUCCUACGGGAGGCAGCAGUGGGGAAUUUUGGACAAUGGGCGGAAGCCUGAUCCAGCAAUGCCGCGUGUGUGAUGAAGGCCUUCGGGUUGUAAAGCACUUUUGGCGGGAACGAAAAGGACUGUGCCAAUACCACGGUUCGAUGACGGUACCCGCAGAAUAAGCACCGGCUAACUACGUG